CCCUUAGAUGUCCGGGGCCGCACGCGCGCUACACUGAAGGAAUCAGCGUGGCUUUCUCCCUGACCCGAAAGGGUUGGGAAACCCGUUGAAUCUCCUUCGUGAUAGGGAUUGGGGCUUGAAAUUGUUCCCCAUGAACGAGGAAUUCCCAGUAAGCGCGAGUCAUAAGCUCGCGUUGAUUACGUCCCUGCCCUUUGUACACACCGCCCGUCGCUACUACCGAUUGAACGGUUUCGUGAGGGCCUCGGAUUGGUCUCGGCCCGCUCUUUACCGGGCGGCGCCGUUGGUCGAGAAGACGCUCGAACUUGAUCGUUUAGAGGAAGUAAAAGUCGUAACA
rnacentral:rRNA from 1 species